rnacentral:rRNA from 1 species
UACGAGGGGUGCAAGCGUUGUUCGGAAUUACUGGGCGUAAAGCGUGAGGAGGCGGCUCGCUAAGUCUGAUGUGAAAGCCCUGGGCUUAACCCAGGAACUGCAUCGGAAACUGGUGGGCUAGAGUUCGGGAGAGGGUCGUGGAAUUCUUGGUGUAGAGGUGAAAUUCGUAGAUAUCAAGAGGAACACCGGUGGCGAAGGCGGCGACCUGGACCGACACUGACGCUAAUACACGAAAGCACGGGGAGCAAACAGG